AUACGGAGGGGGUUAGCGUUGUUCGGAAUUACUGGGCGUAAAGCGUACGUAGGCGGAUUAGUAAGUUAGGGGUGAAAUCCCGAGGCUCAACCUCGGAACUGCCUCUAAAACUGCUAGUCUUGAGUUCGUGAGAGGUGAGUGGAAUUCCUAGUGUAGAGGUGAAAUUCGUAGAUAUUAGGAGGAACACCAGUGGCGAAGGCGGCUCACUGGCUCGAUACUGACGCUGAGGUACGAAAGUGUGGGGAGCAAACAGGAUUAGAAACCCGAGUAGUCC
rnacentral:rRNA from 1 species